AGUUAGAUGACGAUAGAGUCUGUCUGAGUCUAAUAAAACAACAGCUUCAAGGAGAUACUCUUACAAUGUGCUUAUCUCUGCAUGACAGCCUUUUAUUAGACAAAUUAUGACACACUUCACCAUUGAAAAGGACAGUAAGUACAUUCAGAUCAGGUCAUCUUCACAGUACAAAGAUGUGUAAGAGGUGACAUGACAUCCAGUUGUUUUAUCCGAUUGGUCUCAGGUAAGUUGGGGUAAUUUUUUUGGUGUGUGAUAGCUGAAGAAUUACAGAAGUUUUGGC